rnacentral:rRNA from 1 species
UACGUAGGGUGCAAGCGUUGUCCGGAAUUAUUGGGCGUAAAGAGCUCGUAGGCGGUUUGUUGCGUCGGCUGUGAAAUCCCGAGGCUCAACCUCGGGUCUGCAGUCGAUACGAGCAAACUAGAGUGUUGCAGGGGAGACUGGAAUUCCUGGUGUAGCGGUGAAAUGCGCAGAUAUCAGGAGGAACACCGGUGGCGAAGGCGGUUCUCUGGGCAUUACCUGACGCUGAGGAGCGAAAGUGUGGGGAGCGAACAGG